GACAGAGGUGCCAAGCGUUAGGCGGAAUCACUGGGCUUAAAGCGUGUGUAGGCGGAUGCCUAAGUACCUUGUGAAAUCCCACGGCUCAACCGUGGAACUGCUUGGUAUACUGGGUGUCUUGAGCCAUCUAGGGGCUACCGGAACAAAUGGUGGAGCGGUGAAAUGCGUAGAUAUCAUUUGGAACGCCAAUGGUGAAAACAGGUAGCUGGGGAUGUGCUGACGCUGAGACACGAAAGCCAGGGGAGCGAACGGG
rnacentral:rRNA from 1 species